rnacentral:rRNA from 1 species
UAUGGAGGGUGCGAGCGUUGUCCGGAAUCACUGGGCGUAAAGGGCGCGUAGGCGGCAUGCCAAGCGUGUGGUGAAAGCCCGGGGCUCAACCCCGGGUCGGCCGUGCGGACUGGCGUGCUCGAGCACUGUAGGGGCGGGUGGAAUUCCGGGUGUAGCGGUGGAAUGCGUAGAGAUCCGGAAGAACAUCGGUGGCGAAGGCGCUCUGCUGGACCAUAACUGACACUCAGGGACGAAAGCUAGGGGAGCGAAUGGG